GGGGGAAUAUUGCACAAUGGGCGAAAGCCUGAUGCAGCCAUGCCGCGUGUGUGAAGAAGGCCUUAGGGUUGUAAAGCACUUUCAGUAGGGAGGAAAGGAGCGUAGUUAAUAGCUGCGUUCUGUGACGUUACCUACAGAAGAAGGACCGGCUAACUCCGUGCCAGCAGCCGCGGUAAUACGGAGGGUCCAAGCGUUAAUCGGAAUUACUGGGCGUAAAGCGCGCGUAGGCGGUUAGUUAAGCUAGAUGUGAAAGCCCCGGGCUCAACCUGGGAACUGCAUUUAGAACUGGCUGACUAGAGUGCAGCAGAGGGUAGUGGAAUUUCUAGUGUAGCGGUGAAAUGCGUAGAUAU
rnacentral:rRNA from 1 species